rnacentral:rRNA from 1 species
GCAGUGGGGGAUAUUGCGCAAUGGGGGAAACCCUGACGCAGCAACGCCGCGUGAAGGAUGAAGGUCUUCGGAUUGUAAACUUCUUUUAUUAAGGACGAAGAAAGUGACGGUACUUAAUGAAUAAGCUCCGGCUAACUACGUGCCAGCAGCCGCGGUAAUACGUAGGGAGCAAGCGUUGUCCGGAUUUACUGGGUGUAAAGGGUGCGUAGGCGGCUUUGCAAGUCAGAUGUGAAAUCUAUGGGCUCAACCCAUAGCCUGCAUUUGAAACUGCAGAGCUUGAGUGAAGUAGAGGCAGGCGGAAUUCCCCGUGUAGCGGUGAAAUGCGUAGAGAUGGGGAGGAACACCAGUGGCGAAGGCGGCCUGCUGGGCUUUAACUGACGCUGAGGCACGAAAGCGUGGGUAGCAAACAGGAUUAGAUACCCUAGUAGUCCUCG